CCUACGGGAGGCAGCAGUGAGGAAUAUUGGACAAUGGGCGCAAGCCUGAUCCAGCCAUGCCGCGUGCAGGAAGAAGCAUCUAUGGUGUGUAAACUGCUUUUGUACAGGAAGAAACACUCCCUCGUGAGGGAGCUUGACGGUACUGUAAGAAUAAGGACCGGCUAACUCCGUGCCAGCAGCCGCGGUAAUACGGAGGGUCCGAGCGUUAUCCGGAAUCAUUGGGUUUAAAGGGUCCGUAGGCGGUUUAAUAAGUCAGUGGUGAAAUCUGGUCGCUCAACGAUCAAACGGCCAUUGAUACUGUUAGACUUGAAUUAUAAGGAAGUAACUAGAAUAUGUAGUGUAGCGGUGAAAUGCUUAGAUAUUACAUGGAAUACCAAUUAGCGAAGGCAGGUUACUACUUAUGGAUUGACGCUAGAUGGACGAAAGCGUGGGGAGCGAACAGGAUUAGAUACCCUGGUAGUCCACGCCGUAAACGAUGGAUACUAGCUGUUCGGAGCAAUCUGAGUGGCUAAGCGAAAGUGAUAAGUAUCCCACCUGGGGAGUACGUUCGCAAGAAUGAAACUUAAAGGAAAUUGACGGCNGAGAGNGCGAGACGACGACGAGGGAGGAGG
rnacentral:rRNA from 1 species